GGUGAACGCUGGCGGUAUGCUUAACACAUGCAAGUCGAACGGUCACUUCGGUGAUAGUGGCGGACGGGUGAGUAACGCGUGAGAAUCUGUCUUCAGGUCGGGGACAACAGUUAGAAAUGACUGCUAAUACCGGAUGUGCCUUUGGGUGAAAGAUUUAUUGCCUGAAAAAGAGCUCGCGUCAGAUUAGCUAGUAGGUGGUGUAAGAGACUACCUAGGCUCCGAUCUGUAGCUGGUCUGAGAGGACGAUCAGCCACACUGGAACUGAGACACGGUCCAGACUCCUACGGGAGGCAGCAGUGGGGAAUUUUCCGCAAUGGGCGAAAGCCUGACGGAGCAAUACCGCGUGAGGGACGAAGGCUUUUGGGUCGUAAACCUCUUUUCUCAAGGAAGAUGAUGACGGUACUUGAGGAAUAAGCAUCGGCUAACUCUGU
rnacentral:rRNA from 1 species